UAGAGGAAAAUUAUUUUUCCUCCCCUAUAUACCCUUUCUCAGGAAUAUGUUGAAAAAGGUGCUCCUCUGCAUGAGGGUAUAAACCAAGAAAGAGGAAGAUAUGGGAUCUAGGAAGUGAGCGAUUCAACACAGAAAGAAAAAUGUGAAAAGAAUACUUAACAAGUCUUCACAGUCGUUAAGAGAAAUCCCAAGACUUUUAUUGGCAGCAGCAGGAAAAUCAACAGCUCUAACUAAACUGAUAGAUCAGGUCAGUGAUUGCCUGGAUAUAGGAGUGGAAAAGGAUUGACUGCAAACAGCUGCAAGGCAACAUUUUGGGGUGAUGGAAAUGUCUAACAUUGGAUUGUGGUGAUGGUGGCACAACUCUAUAAAUUUACUAAAAUCGUUGAAUUGCACACUUCCAAUGGGUGAAUUAUGCCUCAAGAAAGCUCGAAAAGUAAUGCUAAUGAUAAUCAACAAGGAUAAGACGUGUAGGUAUUGAUGAAACAAGACUGGCAAUAUAUUGAUAAUUAUUGAAACUGGAUGUUGGGUAGUGGGAGUCCAUAGACUUGCCUCUCUACUACUGUAUAUGUUUGGAAAUUUCAAUAAUAAAAGGUAAAAUAAUAUAUUUUUUACAAGACUACUAGGGUCACAUCAAAAGGACUCAGGUACAAAAGGGUAGCAGAAUAUGCCACCCCCAAAACAUGCCGCUUUGGCAGGAAGGAUUUCAAGACAUGCCACCCCAAAAUAUGCCACUUUGGCACACUAACUAUUUUGAGCUAAAGGUACUCUGGAAACAACAGAUGCAGGUGUUUCUACCUAAAAACAGGCCAUCAAACUUCCCAUGAGAAAUGCGCCUGCCUGAACCAGCAAUAAAAGAACAUCAUUGUCACCUGAGACUGGUAAUCAACAUUCAAAUGGGUAUAUAAACUUUCUUGAACUGAAGGCAAUUGAGAGAAACAGAUACAGGCAUACCUUGGAGAUACUGCAGGUUUGGUUCCAGAUCACCACAAUAAAGCAAACAUCAAAAUAAAGAAAGACAGAAGCUAAUCACUGGAGACAACUUUAGACCUUUAUCAGCCCGGAGACAGCAUCAGAGGAAACUAUUACAAACCUUACUAA